rnacentral:lncRNA from 1 species
GGAAAAACCAGUUGCAAGUCAGAUAUAUUCGAUAGUCUUAACGAUGAUGUCCCACUUCGAAAUAAAAGUGAAGUUUGUACAUAUAAUGAUAUCAUUAAAGGACAGUGCAUCAAAUGUAAAAUUGAAAAAGCAUCUACUUUAUUUCUGAAAUGUGGCCAUAGAAUCACGUGUUAUAAGUGUUCUCUUUUAUUUACAAAAUGUCCGUAUUGUGACACCGAUGUAAUCAAUAGAAAAAUAACACUCCUAUGAAGGUUCAAUCACCAACAGCUAACAUUUUUGAUUUCUAGUAUUCAAACGUCUCUCUGGUUUGUAACUAAAUAUUUUUUUCAUGUGGACCAUGUGAUAUUAAAAAGUUUAUAUAAAACCAUGUCGUCCUUGCAAUGAAAAGUAAAAUGGCCAUUUUCUCUAUAUCGAUCACAGAAUUUAUGAAGAAUAGAAAUCUUUUGAACUCGCUUCACAGUCGGGAACUCUAGAUCCAAUACCAGGAAUUGGUAAACUUUAUGUCAAGAAGACAAAUUUGUUUGCGGUGACGAUGUGCUUGAAUAACAAACAUCAGAACACAUCACCAUGAUCACUGUGUAAAAGACAACAUUUUGUCAUUUAAAUGUUAUUUCACCGAUGAAAGGAUUUUAAGUAAAAGCUCAGCCUCAAAUGCGACCUAACUGAUUUAAAAAAAAAUGAAAAUGCAGAGGCAUUUUAUUUGUAAGUAGAGCAUAUCGUGAUGGUGACAAAAAAAAAGGACACUACAUGAAAGGUAAGUGCACUUAAUAUUUAGAAGCAUUAAAAAAUAAACACAAAUAAGAAAGAGAAUUUAAGGGAACUAAAGGUGAGAACGACUCACAUCAGUCGACACAAUAGCAUCUCUCCAAUAAAAUGUUCAGUUGUUAUAAUUAUUCUGCCCAGUAUCUGUCUCUUCUCUUGAAAAGAUAUAUGCGCAUCGGAGAAUAAGCUGUAAGGAUCGACAAUUGUAAUGAUGUCAUAAUACGAAUGAAUAGCUUAACGAAUUAGUGUUUCGAAUUGAAAAAUGUUUGUUCACAAAUCGUAGUAAUUAUUUUACGGGAUACUUAUUCGAUUAUAAAGAGGCAGUCGUAUAAAACUCUAAGGUGAACAUGGUGAAUUUGAGAAGGAGUAGGUUAAUAAAACAUAAAAAAAUAAAACGCCCGAUUUGUCAAACAAUAGAACGAAUGGCAAACAAAUGUCAUGAACGACUUUAUGCAAGCAUAUCGAGAAGAAAAUGAGUGGUUAACGCUAGUAAAAAAAUUAUGAUCUUAACCUCUUAUUUGUAUGACAGUUUUUAAUAGUUAAGUCAUAUUGAAAAUAUUGGGCGAGAAACCCCGAAACGUGACAAUUAUUGGGCAUCCAAAGUUAUUUAAACAUACAUCACUGAAUGCAAACACAACUGAUUCAAAGAUUCAGACACACAUCUAAACAAUCUGACAAAGAUGACAAUAGAAACAGAUCGUAAUUGAUAGUACAUAGUUUAUAGUAAAACAUAAUGUAUACACACUUUCUUAAUAAAGUACAUAUUAAUUAAAACGUGAAUAAGUAAUCAAAAUGAAGGUAACACUAAUUACAUCUCAUUUUUCCGAGUCACUUCAACAUGUUUAAGCAUGACAAGAAUUUAACAACUAAAAAGUACACAAUAAUACAAGGACAAAUAAACUAAAAACUGAAAAAGAAAAAAUAUACCCCAUGUCAGCACGUAAGACCUAUACCUCAAGAUUAUAAGUAGACACUGAAUAUUUAUCUUUGAGGUUCUUUGAACUUUCAGAUGAACUUCAACAAAAAGAAGAGACGCUCUUUGACAAAUCCUAGUCAUCCAUGAUGGUUUAUAAAAGUUAAAGUAGCAAUUGCAAGCUCUUGAAUUUCUCAUGAGCUGAGAAAUGUAUACUAUAUAUGCGGUUCGUGUUGAAUUAUUACUGCUUAGAAGAGUUAAAGUAAUAAUUUCAAGAUUAACAUGUUAUAAGAGUUGU